GGUGAGGGUCCAUACUUAAGAGGCAGAUGUAACUUCAGACCUUUCUAUCUUUCAGCAUUUUCUACUGGCUUCCCUCUGCAACUCAGCUACUUGUUGUAACUCCUAUUCCUGCAUGCUUGAUCCUCUGCUCCCUGUAAAGGCAGUUUGGUGAAGUCCAGUCCCAGAACCAGGCUCCUAAGAAGGCUGGCUGUGGCACUGCUGGGAAUUGCCACAUGGAUCUCAGACCAGGCUUUUGUGUGGAAACAAGUCUUUACCUGUCAAGAUCCCGAUUAAACACAUAUACGCUGAUGGCAAGUAUCGAACGGUGCGGUGGCCUUUGAGAAGCUUCCACAUCCCAAAGAUUGACACUGGGCUGAUCCUGAAGCUCUGAGGACUUCAGAAAACCGAUGGAUUCUUGUUUGGCUGAGCUAUUGAAUGGGGA
rnacentral:lncRNA from 1 species